rnacentral:rRNA from 1 species
UGAGGAAUAUUGGACAAUGGGUGAGAGCCUGAUCCAGCCAUCCCGCGUGCAGGAAGACGGCCCUAUGGGUUGUAAACUGCUUUUCUACGAGAAUAAACCACCUUACGUGUAGGGUGUUGAAGGUACCGUAGGAAUAAGCACCGGCUAACUCCGUGCCAGCAGCCGCGGUAAUACGGAGGGUGCAAGCGUUAUCCGGAUUUAUUGGGUUUAAAGGGUCCGCAGGCGGACUUGUAAGUCAGAGGUGAAAGCCGGCAGCUCAACUGUCGAACUGCCUUUGAAACUGCAAGUCUUGAGUGAGGUUGAAGUAGCUAGAAUGAGUAGUGUAGCGGUGAAAUGCUUAGAUAUUACUCAGAAUACCAAUUGCGAAGGCAGGUUACUAAGUCUUAACUGACGCUGAGGGACGAAAGCGUGGGGAGCGAACAGG